UACGUAGGGGGCGAGCGUUGUCCGGAUUUAUUGGGCGUAAAGAGCGUGUAGGCGGUCUGUCGCGUCUGCUGUGAAAAUCCGGGGCUCAACCCCGGACUUGCAGUGGGUACGGGCAGACUAGAGUGUGGUAGGGGAGGACUGGAAUUCCUGGUGUAGCGGUGAAAUGCGCAGAUAUCAGGAGGAACACCGAUGGCGAAGGCAGGUCUCUGGGCCACUACUGACGCUGAGAAGCGAAAGCAUGGGGAGC
rnacentral:rRNA from 1 species